UACGUAGGGGGCAAGCGUUAUCCGGAAUCACUGGGUGUAAAGGGAGCGUAGGUGGAUUGUUAAGUCAGUUGUGAAAGUUUGCGGCUCAACCGUAAAAUUGCAGCUGAAACUGGCAGUCUUGAGUACAGUAGAGGUGGGCGGAAUUCGUGGUGUAGCGGUGAAAUACUUAGAUAUCACGAAGAACUCCGAUUGCGAAGGCAGCUCACUGGACUGCAACUGACACUGAGGCUCGAAAGUGUGGGUAUCAAACAGG
rnacentral:rRNA from 1 species